UGAGGCAGGAGAAUUGCUUGAACCCAGGAGGUGGAGGUUGCAGUGAGCCGAGAUCGUGCCACUGUACUCCAGCCUGGGUGACAGAGAGAGACU
rnacentral:miRNA from 1 species